rnacentral:rRNA from 1 species
GACGUAGGGUGCAAGCGUUGUCCGGAUUCAUUGGGCGUAAAGAGCUCGUAGGCGGCUUGGCAAGUCAGAUGUGAAACCCUCAGGCUUAACCUGGGGCCGCCAUCUGAUACUGCUAUGGCUAGAGUCCGGUAGGGGAUCGUGGAAUUCCUGGAGUAGCGGUGAAAUGCACAGAUCUCAGGAGGAACACCAGUGGCGAAGGCGGCGAUCUGGGCCGGUACUGACGCUGAGGAGCGAAAGCGUGGGGAGCAAACAGG